UGGGGAAUAUUGGACAAUGGGCGCAAGCCUGAUCCAGCCAUGCCGCGUGAGUGAUGAAGGCCCUAGGGUUGUAAAGCUCUUUCACCGGAGAAGAUAAUGACGGUAUCCGGAGAAGAAGCCCCGGCUAACUUCGUG
rnacentral:rRNA from 3 species